rnacentral:rRNA from 1 species
GACGAACGCUGGCGGCGUGCUUAACACAUGCAAGUCGAACGGUGAAGCGCCUUCCUUUUUGGUGGGUGUGGAUGAGUGGCGAACGGGUGAGUAACACGUGAGUAACCUGCCCCCUUCUUCUGGAUAACCGCAUGAAAGUGUGGCUAAUACGGGAUAUUCUGGGUCUGUCGCAUGAUGGGUCUGGGAAAGAUAUUGUUUCGGUGGGGGAUGGGCUCGCGGCCUAUCAGCUUGUUGGUGGGGUGAUGGCCUACCAAGGCGGUGACGGGUAGCCGGCCUGAGAGGGUGGACGGGCCCACUGGGGAUGGGGCCCGGGCCAGACUUCUAAGGGGGGGAGGCGGGGGGAAUAAUGGACAAUGGGGGGAAGGCUGAAGCAGGGACGGCGCGGGGGGGAUGGAGGCCUUCGGGUUGUGAACCUCUUUCGCCAGUGAAGCAGGCCUGCCUCGUUUGUGGGUGGGUUGACGGUAGCUGGAUAAGAAGCGCCGGCUAACUACGUG